UGAAAGAGGAAGAAGGAAGAAAGUCAAAAGGAUGAAAGAACAAAAGGAGCUCCCCAUAGAAAGACAGACUCUUUUGCCAGCACAUUUAAGAAUCUAAACGAGGCCAAGUGCCAGGCAGAUAGAGGGACUCUACUUGCUGCAUAGUAAAUAAAACGGAGGCUGGGGGAAGCCUGCAGCAAGCAAUAGUUUCUGAGGGGACGACAACAAGACUUAAGAGAAUUCAGACCCUGACUUUCCUGCCUUACCAGAAAUGUAUCCUCUCACUGUUCUGAAGAUUAGAAGUCUGAAAUCAAGAUACCAGCAAAGUUGGUUCCUUCUGGCGACUCCGAGUGAGAAUCUGCUCCAUGCUUCUCUGCUGGCUGCUGGUGGUUGCUGACAAUCCUUGGUGUCUCUGGGCAUGCAGGUACAACCCAAGUCACCAGAGCUCAUAAAAGAUGUGUGCACUGUCGCAUCUAUGUGAAGUAUUUCCAUGACCCGAGCAUUGACUACAGGACUGUGCUGGAGGAAGCUGGAUCAAGGUACCAAGAUUCAGGGAUCAUGGCCUGGGGAGAAACACAGCAUUUUGCAGAAGUAAAAAUGUGAACACAGAUACAAUGCUUCAUUUUCCCGAACACACCAUGCAAUACAAAGAUGCUACCCUUCGUCUGCAAUGAUUCUACCUAUUGUUAGUUCACUGCAUCCUCAGAGUCAGUGCACAGGCAGGAGAGGCUGAGAUUAUUUAGAUUCUCAUAAUACAGUAGAUAAUGAGGAAGACAGGCUAGGAUACCAUGGGUGCCACAUUAGUGCCUUCUUUAAGGUUCUGAUACACAAGCAGCCCUGCCCCAGUUGGUUUGUGUUUAAAAGAAGAUCAUUUAUUAAGGUGCUGAUAUACAAACUCUGUCCCACCCAAGUUGGCUUGUGUUUAAAAGAGGAUCCUGACAAGUCUACCUAAAGAAGAUGAAAGAGGUAUUGGGGGCAGGGGACAAUGGACUGGCUAAUGUGCAGAAAUAAACUUUACAGCUCUAGGCCAGGGCCACCAUAAACCUCUUCCACACUGUGCAGCACACAUUAUGAUGGAAACAACACGCCUUGGCUGGUGGCUUUGCUCCGUGUUCCUCAAGGGAGCUUUGGGUUGCAAACCUGCCUGCUCCCUGGCUGUCUCAUCUUUUCCAUGUGAGGACCACAAUUCCUGACCUUUGCAGUGGCUGUAAACUUUGAGACAGGGAGGCAGGAUCUGCAGCUUCCCAGGGGCCUCGGAGGACUCUAGUGGCCCAUGCAGCUCUGUGGACUUGGAAUUUGAGCUCACUGAGGAUGUCACAUACAAAUAAACAAGUGACACAUUGCAUCUUGAACACAUUGCAAGCAACUUUUAAAGGUCAUCUCAUCCAUGCCUCUGUCUCUUCUUUGGAACAGUUCAAAAUUAUUUCAGACUGAAAAUGUCUCCUGUUUUCAAAAAUUACCAAACACAAAUUACAUGAAUGAGUUUGUUUAAACAACUUAGAGGACCCAAAUCAAAAUUUUUCUUAAGUCCAAUUACUCGUGCUUCAGGAACAUAGGAUGUUUCCUCUUGUUCUGCCUUUUGGAAUGGUGAAGGGUAUUUCACUGACAUCUUGAAUCAUUUAGAGGGACUUAGGAUUCAAUUUAAGACAAUAAAUAUUUACUGAGCUUCUAUGUAUCUGAUACUGAAAUGGGGCCGAGAGGGUUACAAAGUUGAUGAUCUGGGCUUCUUUCUCAUCUCAAGAAGCAUAAUUCCCACAUCACUCAUGAUGUAGAGUGUGGUAAAUGCCACCUAGUAAGGUCACAAGGAGAGGGUUUGGAGCCACUGAUGUUACCUGGAAUCAAACAAUUCUAUGGUGGAGACAAAGAUACUCAGGAGAGCACCUGCAUCUCAUCUGGAUCAAAAGGGAUGAACACAACUGUCUGGAUGAGCUGUGGCACAGGUGUUCUGCCAAGAAGAGGAAGCUGGCAGAAGAGGCCUUGGUAAGUCUGAAUUCUUGCCUCACUUUUGGUACUGACUUCUCCCUGCACGUCACAUUCUUACUAUGUACCAUUCA